rnacentral:misc_RNA from 1 species
GCUCUUCCCUUUCCGGAUCUGCUUUCUUUCUGUCGACUUCCCGUCAUCAUCCUCGUCUUUGCGAACGUGUCAGGCGUUGACGAAAAGGGCGCGCAUACUUCUAGAGUGGCACAGCGCUUUAAGAUGCGCGUCCCUCCGUCCUUGCCGCGUGCUGUCCGCACUUGCGCGCCACCGCGGCGCCCCGCCGUCACCAGCACACCCCUUUUUCUCGCCAUCCUGCUACUCCUGUGCACCACCACCACGUCAACGUUUGCGUUGGUCUCUGUAGCCACCCCAACCGCCGCUCAGCUGUCUGCCGCCUACGCGGUAGCAAAUCCUGGAACUCCGUUGCAGGGCCUGUACGCGAUGCGUGCAACCAGAAGACCUCCGGCACGGCGGACCGCAUGCUCAUGACGGUGCGCGGCGGCGUGACAGCGAUGCUACAGACCGUGGCCAAGGGCGGUGUGCUCUACUUGGGCAGCCACUACGGCCUCUCCUCGGGCACGUGGAGGUGGUGGGACAGGCAAUUCGGCGAUUACGCGUUCGCCACCGGUCCUAGUGGCAAACCUGUUGCAAGCCAGCGUCGUGGGCUGGGCUACGGGCUACCCGCAGCUCAGUGCAGAUGGCUCGGUUGGCGACCGCCGACUACGUUGGGCCUUGACGAACCGCGGAAGGGGUGGACAAGCGUGGCCGCCGCCUGCGAAUCGCGCGACGAUGUCGUGGCGGUGACAAUGAAUGGCCUCCCUCUUGGUGGGGCUACAUGCGCAUCAUGGUGCUCGCGGUGGUCGUGGUGGCGGUGAUUGUCGUCGUGUGCGGGGCUGCCUGCGGAAGAAGAAGCAGUAUGAUGGCCAUGAGAACAGCCAGUGUACCCCUCCUCCUCAGCCAGUUCUUUUUUUUCCUCCCGUGGCACGAGCGACAGUGACGGCAGCAGCAGCGGCACGAGCUGUAACGGGUCGAGCGAAGCCGACAGAAGUUUUCUCGGUGACCUCUAGCAGUCGAAGAACUGGUUGCUGGGGCAGCUAGUUCGCGCCCGGCAGCACUCGUUUCAGUCCCUGGCUUCUCGAUGAUCCCAGUGGGCCCCCGCCACCACAAAACGAGAACCGAGAUGCAUGUGAAGGCAUACAACGACCUUUCCUACAGGCACAGACACACACAUACACACCAUAGCCACCAUCACCAUCACAGUCGACUUGCCUCUGCUCGCGCCCCGUGAGGAAACCCUCGACAACUCACCACCACGACCACCCUCCCGACUUGUCCUUCUCUGGAUUAAUGUGCAUAUGUUACCGCUCGGGGCGUUGUCCUGUUUUGUCUUCUUUUGUGCGUGUGUGUACUUUUCAGUGUUUACCGCAGCGAGAGAGAGGAAAGAAGAGGGAGAAGAGCGCCUUCAGCAAUCCUCUACAUGUUCAUGUAUGCCUUUGUGUGCUGCAUCGGUGCCGUUUUCUUCUCAUGCGGUGUGUGGAGAGGGAGGGAGGGAGGGGGGGCACUGUGAGAGGCGGGGAGAGGGAAGGGAAGGUGGCGUGGUUCCUCUGUCCGUCGCACCUCCUCCUCCUCUCCCCUUCCUCCCUCCCUCCAUCAUCCCUCAUCAUCUCCCAUCUCUCUUUGGAAGACACGCGUGUACAUGUGCAGUGCGUGCGCGUGUGUGUGUGUGUCUCUCUCCCCCUUCAUGCCCUAUGCAGCCCCGUCCGUUACCCGACUCCUCCACCUACCCCUCACCCCUCUCAUGUGCAUCAUGUUCGAGUUGGGGGGAGCGGGAAGGAGGCGAAUGGUUCAUCCCACGACGACGGCGGGGGGGGAGCUGCAUUCUUUUCUCCUCUUUCCCUUCCCCCGCUCCUUCUCUUGAGCCACCACCACCACCCGCCCAACUGCGCCCCUCUCUCGCACGCGCACACGGCGCACAUGCAUGAUUGCGUGUCAGCCAACGGCCCUGCCGCUGCCAUCUUGUUGCUGGUGCAUUUCUUUUUUUCCAUGCGUGAAUGCGCGCAGGGCCCUCUCACGAUCGCCUGUGUUCGUGUUGGUGCGUGUGCGCAUGUGCGUGUGUGUGUGUGUGUGUGUGUGUGGUCUGGGGAGGGGGUGCGCAUGCUGCUCGUGUUGUGGGUGGGUUAUCCGCUGAGUAGAUCGUCGCCUAGGAGCUCACGCUUCUUUGCCCCUCCACCCUCUUUUCGGGUUCCCGUCUCUCUCUCUGCCUCCCUCCCGGUGGUAUGGUCCGCCUCCUUACAGUGGUGAGCCUCUGCGGGUGUCAGUAUUGGUGUUUACGUUUUUUUUUACUUGGUUUCUCUUGCGCUUCCUUUUCGUGUGCCCGUCGCUCAGUGAAGGGGCUGAGCGUCGCAUCAGCCAGCACAACACGAAACAACAGUUAAGCGUCAGCGGAACGCGAGGAGCGCAUAACAGCGCUCUGCAUGGAGGGAAAAGCGGCAAGGGGAAAAGGUGGGGGUGGGGGAGCGGGGCUUUGGGUGAAGGGUCAGUGUGGACUCGUAGAAGCGGCUUCUUUCCCUCAGCUGCUUCCUCCUCCUCGCCACCACCACCACCUGCUUGCGGCGCACGUGCAUGUGUGUGUGUGUGUGUGUGUGUGUGUGACAGAUCCGCUAUCCAUGUUAUCGAUUUCACCACCUUCACUCUCUCCUCGGCUGCUGCUGCUGCUGUGGAUGCGUCGUCGCCGUCAUCCGCCGGUUACCUCUUUAUUACGGUGUUGGCAUCAACACACAUACACGCCAAAACAUCAUAUAAUAAUAAUAACGGCGGCGCACUGCUUACAUGCGCCUCCUCCCCCUCUCUCCUCGCGUCCUCCUCCUCUGCGCCUGUCGUUGCCCCGCGGCAG